UACGUAGGGGGCAAGCGUUGUUCGGAAUUACUGGGCGUAAAGGGCGCGUAGGCGGCAUGGCAAGUCAGGAGUGAAAGGCCUGGGCUCAACCGAGGAACUGCUUUUGAUACUGCCAAGCUAGAGUGCGGAAGGGGCAACUGGAAUUCCCAGUGUAGCGGUGAAAUGCGUAGAUAUUGGGAAGAACACCUGAGGCGAAGGCGGGUUGCUGGGCCGACACUGACGCUGAGGCGCGAAAGCAUGGGGAGCGAACAGG
rnacentral:rRNA from 1 species